rnacentral:rRNA from 1 species
GAUGAACGCUGGCGGCGUGCCUAAUACAUGCAAGUCGAGCGAACAGAUGAGGAGCUUGCUCCUCUGACGUUAGCGGCGGACGGGUGAGUAACACGUGGAUAACCUACCUAUAAGACUGGGAUAACUUCGGGAAACCGGAGCUAAUACCGGAUAAUAUAUUGAACCGCAUGGUUCAAUAGUGAAAGACGGUUUUGCUGUCACUUAUAGAUGGAUCCGCGCCGCAUUAGCUAGUUGGUAAGGUAACGGCUUACCAAGGCAACGAUGCGUGGCCGACCUGAGAGGGUGAUCGGCCACACUGGAACUGAGACACGGUCCAGACUCCUACGGGAGGCAGCAGUAGGGAAUCUUCCGCAAUGGGCGAAAGCUUGACGGAGCAACGCCGCGUGAGUGAUGAAGGUCUUCGGAUCGUAAAACUCUGUUAUUAGGGAAGAACAAAUGUGUAAGUAACUAUGCACGUCUUGACGGUACCUAAUCAGAAAGCCACGGCUAACUACGUG